CUUCUGUCUCGUUAUUGGGGGGGAUUUCUUAUUUACGCUUAGAGACUGCUUAUUGGAACCGAAAGCUGCUUGGUGGAUAUCGUUGUUCGGUGGCUAGCAGCAGUUCGUGGAUUUCCGUUCGGGAGUUUGGAGCCUUUCACGGAUCCCGGUAGGGAGAUUACCGCUUCCCCUGAUGGUGGUUCGUAUACUGCAGUCUAUGCAAACGGAGUUAUUGGUAUUGCGAAAGGGGAAGGCUAACUAAACGGCGGUUUCGCUUAAAGACACAAGGGGUGUCUUAACAC